rnacentral:rRNA from 1 species
CCAAUAGCGUAUAUUAAAGUUGUUGCAGUUAAAAAGCUCGUAGUUGAAUUUCGGGAUUGGCACAUCGGUCGUGCCUUACGGGGCAUGAACUGGUGUAGCCAAUUUCUCACCUUCUGGAGAACCGCGAUGUCCUUAAUUGGGUGCCGCGAGGAACCAGGACCUUUACUUUGAAAAAAUUAGCGUGUUUAAAGCAGGCAUUUUGCUUGAAUACAUUAGCAUGGAAUAAUAAAAUAGGACGGAUGAUUCUAUUUUGUUGGUUUCUAGGACCACCGUAAUGAUUAAUAGGGAUAGUUGGGGGCAUUAGUAUUCAAUUGUCAGAGGUGAAAUUCUUGGAUUUAUUGAAGACUAACUACUGCGAAAGCAUUUGCCAAGGAUGUUUUCAUUAAUCAAGAACGAAAGUUAGGGGAUCGAAGACGAUCAGAUACCGUCGUAGUCUUAACCAUAAACUAUGCCGACUAGGAAUCAGACGAUGUUAAUUUUUUAAUGACUCGUUUGGCACCUUACG